rnacentral:rRNA from 1 species
GCAAAGUCGUGAGGCGGAGCAAAACACAAAACACAGUCUCAGUCCAGAUUGUAGGCUGAAACUCGCCUAUAUGAAGUCGGAAUUGCUAGUAAUCGCGGAUCAGCAUGCCGCGGUGAAUACGUUCCCGGGCCUUGUACACACCGCCCGUCACACCAUGAGAGUCGAUAACACCCGAAGCCUGUAGUCUAACAGCAAUGGGGACGCAGUCGAAGGUGGGAUUGAUAAUUAGGGUGAAGUCGUAACAAGGUACC